rnacentral:lncRNA from 1 species
AGGUGGUGGUUCCGGUGUGGCCGCAGCGAGGGGUCAUUCUCCUUCUUUGAUGACUUGCUCCUCUUCUCUGGUGAGGGCAGGUGCGGCUAGGGUUAGGUUCCCUAAGACGUGAUGUUUAAGUACUCAUUUCGCGUCGAUCUGACUUGUCCAUCCAUGUACGUGUGGCCCUCUUUAUCUGUUGGAUUUAUCCUAUUUAGAAAAUGAAUC